AAAAGGUUUUUGAUGUGGAAGAGGAGGGAAAUAUAUCGUCUCAUAAAGUACCAAUUCUUGUAAAUCAAUAAAAUCAAUAAAGAUGCAGAAGACUACCAUGAAGAAAUCUGAAUUUCAAUCAAAAAAACAAGCACAGAAUGGUUGGCUCUCUGGUUAGUAAAUCUUUGAAUGUCGUGACAUUUACAACAAUACUACUUUGUUUGGAAUCAUUAUACGAAAGAGCGACAGCUGCCGUUGUUCAUGGUGAGAGGUAUCAUGGUCCCUUUGUACGGGUGGUGGGAAUCCCUGGACAACAGCAGUGUGUCCGGGAGUGUAGACACCGACCCAAGCUAUGUCGAAGAGUCAACUACCAGAAACAGGAACUACUGUGUGAUCUCGUGUCGGCCAUCAACGAAACGGAAUCAAAAUCUGACUAUGUUAGAAUUGAAAUUGAUCAGCUCUGCUAGGUCUUGCAUUGGGUAAACAAACGAAACAGUCGUCAACACAUGGGGCCUAUCAUUUACCAAGACAAGUGUACACACACCGGGGACGGCGACACAAAUCCCUGGUGGAGGGUGGAUCUACUGACUGUGUAUUCCAUUAAAUCUGUCAGAAUACUCAACAGAGGGGUAGACUAUAGUGGAGAUUUUUCAAUCCGGUUACGAGAUGUUACCGUCACUGUAGGGCUGACUGAAUCAGACGUCAAUACUCCCUGUGGUGUCUUUGCUGGCCCCGGUACUGCGUCACAGCUGGUUGUCAUCAACUGUCCGACGUCACCACAGGGGAGAUUCGUAAAAAUCUCCAAGAAAACUUCGAUUCUCAGUCUUUGUGAAGUUGACGUGUUCGGUGUAUCCGUAUAAUUAUCAUAAUUAUUUAUGUUUCAAGGAACACACCUGUAAUUGUUUUCACUAUAUAUAUGUAACACAAUAGAGGUAAAAAAAAGUCUUAAAAAUC
rnacentral:sRNA from 1 species